UUCCCCCCAGAAGAAGCCGUGAGGGGGGGUUGAGGGGGGGAGAAAGAGACAGCUGUUUGGUCCUGGCUGGGUUUAGGCGGAACAAUUCGCCCGUGAGGGAAGGGCUUCCAGGGCGCUGAACUACAUCGCAUGCAUCAAAGCCCCUCACUGAGCACAUCUGCAUAAAUGAGCGUAGAGCUGCAGAUUCUGCACAAGCUGAGCUCAGUAUGAGUUCCCGAUCGGCAGCUCCGUCGAGCAAAGAUCGAUGUUUUCACUGGGUGGCCGUCGCUUCUCCGUCUGGCACUGGAUGAUCUCAGAGACUUCAGUGCAAAGUAACCAGAGUAGGGGUUGGGGGGGCGGUGGGGUACAACCAGUCAGCCCAUUACACGCACCACCCCUGCAGAACGUGGUGUCACAGACAUCUGUAUAAGAGCUGAGAGGCAAAUCAAUAAAGAGUGCGAGCAAAGGUGGCUUACAUUAGUGGCCCUGCUUAGUGCAACUCACAGGGGGAAUAUAGGAGCUUUAAAAAUCCGUCACCAAUGUCUUUAUCUCUGGAUCUUUGUGUUAAAUUAUCUUUCAGUAAUAAAAAGUGAGAGAAUAACUGCGAGGUGCGUUGUUCCAUCAUUGUUGGCCGGACUCUGUUCUCCUACUCUUCCACUUCCUCCUCUUACAUGUAAACUUGUCACAAUCCUACUUUGUGUUUAACUUUGUUUGCAUCCAAAGUGACAUAACAUAGAAAACUUUGAAUAUAUACUUUAUCGUGUAUAACUGAUGCACUAUUUGAAUAUUUAGGAAACAAAGAUGAAGCCAAAAUGGAAAACUGUUAGUAAAAAACAAACAGCACAACUAAGAGUCUGUAAUCCUCUUGUGUGACGUAUGUUUUCGAACUACAGCAGUCCGUAUUAUUUCCGUGUUGCAUCUCGA